AGUCGCACGAGAAAGGGCUUGGCCCCGGUACAGUGGCGCACGGGUGAGUAACACGUGGGUAACCUUCCCCAGAGUGGUGGAUAACCUGCCGAAAGGCGGGCUAAUACAGCAUACGACCGGUUGUCUUCGGGCGAUUGGUGAAAGCAGGCCUCUGUACACAAGCUUGCGCUCUAGGAUGGGCCCGCGUCCCAUCAGCUAGUUGGUGAGGUAACGGCUCACCAAGGCUACGACGGGUAGCUGGUCUGAGAGGAUGGCCAGCCACACUGGAACUGAGACACGGUCCAGACUCCUACGGGAGGCAGCAGUGGGGAAUCUUGCGCAAUGGACGAAAGUCUGACGCAGCGACGCCGCGUGGGCGACGAAGGCCUUCGGGUUGUAAAGCCCUGUGGGGCGGGACGAACACACUCUAUUCGAACAGGGUAGGGUGCUGACGGUACCGCCUUAGCAAGCACCGGCUAACUCUGUGCCAGCAGCCGCGGUAA
rnacentral:rRNA from 1 species